UAACGCGUAGGUAACCUGCCUGGUAGUGGGGGAUAACUAUUGGAAACGAUAGCUAAUACCGCAUAAUAACAGUUGUUGCAUGACAACUGUUUGAAAGGUGCAAUUGCACCACUACCAGAUGGACCUGCGUUGUAUUAGCUAGUUGGUGGGGUAACGGCUCACCAAGGCGACGAUACAUAGCCGACCUGAGAGGGUGAUCGGCCACACUGGGACUGAGACACGGCCCAG
rnacentral:rRNA from 1 species